CAUGGGGAGUUAGAGGACAGUUUUGAAAAGUAGGACAUGGUAAGACUUAUCCUUUGAAAGCUUCUCUCUGGCUGCUGUGCUGAGAACAGAAUUGAGAGGUGGAGACCAGUGAGGCAGUGGGGAAAACGGUGGGAAAGGAGUGGAAUAUUCCAGAAUGGAGAUGUUGCUUACUUUGACUGGGGUGUGAGCAGGGGAAAUAGUGGGAACUGAAGGGAUUCUGGAUGAAUGUGAAGAUGGACUUCACAGCACUUGCUAAUGGAUUUAUCUGUGGUGUGAGAAGAAGAAUCAAGGACACCUACAGUGUUGGACUGAGUGAGCAGAAGGGUGGAGCUGCUGUCAGUGGAGAUGGGGAGACUCUGGCAGGAGCAUACAGAGGAGAGGGCAUCGCGGGCAUUCAGUGGAGGAGACAUCUACGAGGAAUGCAGGUGAGGGGCCCAGAUGCCUCUGCAGCUACAGAUUCAUCAUCCAAUCACUCUCCUACUUCCACCAGCCCUGUGUCUCAGAGCCAGAGCACUGAUUCUCCCCUGGGCUGUCUGCACAGGCAGGUGAAAGUCAGGGAAGUUACGGUCUGCUGUUGGUUAUAAUAAGUCACAGAUUAUUGUGCUUUCUCAGAUAAUUAAAGAAAUAAUAAGAGGAUGUAUAAUUAGAACACUUAGUCACAAGACUACAAUAAUGCAAAGUUUUUUAUUCAUCUAAAGAAGGAAACAGAAGAAAAAUAGUUGAGCCAGAAAGAGAUAAUAUUAGAAGGCAGCAAAUGACAAUGUACAGACUUAAACCCAAUGAGGUCAACAAUUACUUUAAACAUAAUGGACUCAGACACUCCAAUUACAAGACAAAUAGUGCAGGGGGUAAAAAUAAAUAAGUAAAUAAAUAAAUAACCGUAGGCUAUUGACAAAAGCUAUAAUUUAAGUAGAAGAUACAGAAAAGUUGAAAGUAAAAGGAUAGAAAUACCAGACAAACAUUCAUGAAAAACCACAUGGAGAUGCCAUUUAGAAAAAUUACAGGACAUGGGUCUCCUGAGACAUGGAGUACAUGCAGACAGCUCACACUGUGUUUUUCCUUUUUUUCAGAGACAGGGUCUGUUGCCCAGGCUGCAAUGCAAUGGUGAUAUCAUACCUCACUGUAACCUCAAACUCCUGGGCUGAAGCAAUUCUCCUGCCUCAGCCUUCCGAGUAGCUAGGACGACAGGCAUGUGCCGCCACACCUGCUAUAAUGUCUCAUUUUCUCAUUUGCUGAGGUGUGAUCAAGGAAACAAUAUCGUGCCAUGUAUUUGACUUGCAGCAGGUACACAACAAUGUCAGGUGAAUGAAGAAAUAAAACCAUUUAGUAAUCCAAGCCAUAUCCACAUUUACAUUUUACAGGUGAGGAGCAACAUCCCAGACAAGUAAAAUAAACUGAUUUGCAUCAUCCAGAGCAGAAUCGAGAACUAUUCCCUGUGCUAAAGGAAUCAGAGCUCUACCAGGGGUCAUAGCAGUCCCGGCCAGUUCCCUGCCUCGACUCCAUCAACAUCGGCACCUGCCAGAUGCCCAGCACCCACCAAGUAAGGAGUGAAAAGACCGCAGGACUAAAGAACAAGACGAGAUUCCACCCCAGCCAUCCCUCCCCUCCUAGAGCUCUAGCUCUGUGCGUUUAGUGCUUAGGCUGUUAAUCUGGGGUCCGUGAACCCACUUUCCUGUGACACUGCAUGCAGAAGUGAUGUAACAUGCACACAUGACUCCAUUACAGGACAUUGGAUAUUAAUAUUCAUCAGAUCAGCUAGAGGCCCAAGACACCACUCUUCCCCCAACAGCUUGUGAUCCUCUGAAUUAAAGAAAGGGUAGAGAUUGAGGGCGGCCCUAACUCCAAAUCUUCAACCCCUUCCAGGAAAGUGCUGAAAAGCGGUGCAAGGUACUCAACCUGCGCUGGGGAUACAGCAGGAAAGCAGAGCGUUCGCGGAUUUCACAUUCCAUCAAAGAAAUACCCUUUUGAGAAAACAUCCAAGUCACUUUUCUAAGCUCCAGGCAGCAGCUAAAAAAAAAAAAAAAAGAAAAAUCUUGGCCCAGUGAAAUCUUUGAAGACAUAAAACUUUGUGAGACCUGUAUUUAGAGCGAAGGACAAUUUAAUUUAGGGCUGCAGCAGAAAACCCCUACAUCAUAUAGGGUUUUUCCUCAUCAUGAAGGUCCCCUGAACGGACCUUCUCCCCUCAGCAGUGCAUAGUGAGGCCAUUGCUGUGUAAAAAGACAGAAUCUCUUUGAUUCCUGAUGUUUACUUACUACUCACUCUUUGACUUUGUAGAUGCCAACUUCACAUUAGACAUCUUUCAGUUAGUUUCCUUACUCUGUCUAAGCAGAGAAUUUGAAAUUGUUUCUGAAGCAGAAAACCAGGGACUGGUUAUGAGCUAUCACCCUAUUCUGUGGCUCUCUUAUACAAUAAGCAUAAUAGAUUGUGGGCCAACAAAAUUUGUAGCAAGGUAAACAUAAACCCUUCAUUUCAGCCUAUGUUUCAGCUUGUCUAGUGAUGUUCCAGUCUUGCUCCAGUCUUAACAUUUAAAAAUUUAUAAUUUUACUUGAAUUUGAGUUUAUAAGAAGUCAUAUAUAUUCAUUUCUGUUGGGUUUCUCAGUGAAAGACUUCUCAAAACAACUGUGGAGGAAAGACAGGUAAAUAAAUGCAUGGUGCUCCCA